UACAAAGUACAGUUGAUUGAAUAUUGAGAUAUUACUUGAUAUCCUCCCUACAGUCUCCUGCCUUCAUCCUUGUCUGGGAUGUAAUAACCGGAUCCCCUGGAACUGAGCUAACAUCGCCAUCCGGUGGCCGUCCCUAACAUCGCCCUCCGGUGGCCGUCCCUAACAUCGCCCUCCGGUGGCCGUCCUUACCGCCACGGGUUUUCACCAAAUCCGAUUUUAAACGUUAAUCCGGGAUCCGGAUUUUGCGGCCAUCUUGUACUUUUCAUGUUUAUAAACAGUGAGCCAGGCACCUCGGUCGUCCAGUUGAUCUAGUUUGAAACUCCACAAAGUAACUGUCGAAACUCGAAUGUCACCCAAAAAAAUCGUUCACAUAAUCGCCAGAGCGCGUUAUCAAUUCAAGACGCGAAUCUCGUCCCAAUCUGGCCCGGAACCUGUGCCACAUGCCACGCACGUGUCGUCCGGUUCCAGGAACUACUGAUUAACCCUUUGUAAGCCACCGCGAGCCCACGGACAAGUCUCUGGUCAACAGAACCUAAUGAACGGCGACCGUUAGGUAUUAAAUCGUUUUUAUUAGUGCUUGUAUAAUCUGUUAAAUGUAAUAACACAAUAUUUGUGCUUCGCGAAACUAGCGGGCGAUCAGUCUGUCUGAUUAAAUGAAAUGACAGGAAAAUCUCUGGUAUAAUAAAUAAAAAGUUUUUCUUAUAAAAGGUAUUUCUAAAAGUGACGAAGGGAAGAGCGGCAGGGACCGGAGAGAUCCAUUCCCUGAACACCGGAUCCUCCCCGUACUUUAUCAACAGCUCGGUCCCAUGUUCUUCUGACGGCAACGCAGAGCGAGUGCCCUGGCCGAAAACCUCACGUUGCUGCGCCCUGUGUGUGUGUGUGAGAAGUGUGUUCACCCGAAAGAAAGAUGGCAGAUUAUCGGGAAGACACCGGAGCGCGAGCCCUACUGGCUCUGCAGUCCGCCCCGUGCAGCCCCGUGCGCGUCGGGGUGUCCUCGCACGCGUACCCGUCCUCCCUCGUCCUCUCCGGUACCUCCUCGGUACUGAGCCGUGGAGGACUACCUCCCGUGCGCCUCGCUUCGCCGCCUCGGGCCCUGGCCAGACUGGAGGGCCGGGACUUUGAGUUUGUGAUGCGCCAGAGGACAGUGACGGUAGGCCGGAACUCGUCCCAUGGGUCCGUGGACAUCAACAUGGGCCACUCCAGCUUCAUAUCAAGAAGACACCUGCAGAUCAACUACGAAGAACCGUACAGCUUUUCGUUGCGUUGCCUGGGCAAAAAUGGGGUGUUCGUGGACGGGGUGUUUCAGCGGAGAGGCGCGCCGCCUCUGCAACUUCCCCGGGAGUGUGUGUUGCGUUUCCCCAGCACGGUGAUCAAGAUCCAGUUCCUGUCUCUGCUGUUGGGGGAGGAGCUUAGGGAGGAGCAGUCUCCGGCCCCCAGGCCCCUCCUCCCCCACAUCUCCCCCCUCAAGAUCCAGAUUCCCAUCAUGCACCAUGAUGACCUGCACGCCUUCAGUUCCCCACUGCCCUCCCCCACCGGCACCAUCAGUGUUCCUAACUCCUGUCCAGCCAGCCCACGGGGGGCGGGGUCAUCAGGGUAUCGCUAUGGACGCAAUGUGACCUCUGACCUCCAGCUGGCUGCAGAGUUCGCCGCCAGAGCCGUCUCAGAGCAACGUGGAGAGGUUGCUGAGCAACGUGGAGAGGUUGCUGAGCAACGGGGAGGGGUUGCCGAGCAACGGGGCGAGUCGGCAGGAGGAGACAGCCCCAGGGAUGAGUCCAAGCCUCCGUACUCCUACGCCCAGCUGAUAGUGCAGGCCAUCUCUUCAGCUCCUGACCGGCAGCUCACCCUGUCUGGCAUCUACUCUCACAUUACCAAACACUACCCCUACUACCGCACCGCUGAUAAGGGCUGGCAGAACUCCAUCAGACACAACCUGUCUCUGAACCGCUACUUCCUGAAGGUGGCCCGCUCUCAGGAGGAGCCUGGGAAAGGCAGUUUCUGGCGCGUGGAUCCUGCGUCAGAGGGGAAGCUGGUGGAGCAGGCGUUCAGGAAGCGCAGGCAGAGGGGCGUUGCCUGUUUCCGCACGCCCUUCGGACCGCUGUCCUCCAGGAGUGCCCCAGCCUCGCCCACCCACCAGGGCCUGCUCUCCCCCCCAGGCAGUGGGCUUCAGACCCCAGAGAGCCUCAGUCGAGAGGGCUCCCCGCUGCCCCACGAGCACCUGGGCCACAAGCUGUCCUCUGUCCCUGAGUACCGCUACACCCAGAGCGCACCCGGUUCACCUGUCAGCGCCCAGCCCGUCAUCAUGGCUGCCCCCCCUCACCACCCCCUGCCCCUGCCCGCGGGGCUGGGGAACCCCCUAGCGUUCCUCCCAGGGGGAACAGGGGGGGGGAAGGGGCUCCUGCAGGCCCCCCCCACCGUCACCAUGCUGAGGGUGGUCACCACCGCUGCCCCCCCCAACGGAUACCUGCUAAGCACUGCCCCACCCCUGGGGGCGCCCGGGGGCGGAGCCAGCGAUCUCAGGGAGUCUCAGCAAGGGAGAGAGCGUGUCAUCCAGUCGCUGGAGGGGGUGGGGCUAAGUGGCGAGGGGCGGGGCUUGUCCCUGGGCAUACACCAGCUUCCUGUCCGACCUGUCACUCAGAAUGGAAAGCAUGCUGCCGUUGCCGUGACGACCAACGCCUACGCUCUCAGCAGUCCUCUCCAGAUCCUGGCCGCCCAGGCCUCCAGUUCUCCCCCAGUGUUGGUGAGCAGGCAGCCCAGCUCAGGGCCUGAUCCUCGGGCAGAGCAGCCAGGCGAGCCCCAGGCUAAGAGGCCCAAGGUGGAGGGGGAGGAGAGCCCCUCUCUGGCCCCAGCCUCCCAGCAGCCCGUCAUCGUGGCCAUGAGCUCCCAGUCCCACGACCCCAGGAAGUGAAACCUCCACCUGUGACUCCUGACCUGGUGCCUGAAGAAGCAGCAGCUCCAAAACCCACCUCUGAUCCCUCCCACCCCAAAGAAAUAGGAGGAGUAAAAGUUCCCCCCAGGAAGGAAACAGCUGUCGUUAACAACAUGCUGACAUGUUUUUAAUCUGUCAGCUGACCCAUCAUCUGUCCACACACCGCUUGUCGUGUCCCUAUUGGUCAACACACCAAUCAAUCAAACAGUCAGCCUGUCUGAUUGGCCAAAGAGUUUUCACUGAUUGGGCAGGUUGGUUUGCGAGGUGCAAAUAGGGCCAAGGAGGUUGGAGGGAGGAGACGAGAAAAGGAGUCGAUGAGGUUGGGAAGAAAGUCUUGGUUAGGGGCGGAGCCUGUAUCAAUACUUAAUUGACUGAAUUAAACUAAAGUUCAUCCUAGAGUAACCAUAAAAGAAGAGUAGGACAGGAAGUAGUAGACAAGACGUAGAUCUCUGAACAGAUCAUGCUCCCCCAUUGGUCAAUAAAGCUGAUAAGUCAUCAAUAUCAUUGGUCAGGGCGGCUUACAGAGAGAGAGAGAGAGAGAGAGAGAGAGAGAGGGGAAGGGAGGAGGAGAUGGGAGAGGGACAGGGAAGGAAUAAUAUUUAGAUAACUAGUGGAUGAGGUUAGGAGUGAUGGAAGGAGGAGAGAGGAGAUCAAGGAAAGAAAAA